AUAGUUACUGACAGAGGAGACACCAUGAUAAUGAAGGUGGUUUUCCCAGGCUGAGGCUCAUCAGGUGCACUUCAGGUGUGCUGAUCCCUGUGAUUUCCCCAAAUGCAGGAAACUUGACUGCAUAAUCUGUGGUAGUGGGGGACUGUGUGUGUGCUUUUCCCUA
rnacentral:snRNA from 1 species